rnacentral:lncRNA from 1 species
UAUUUCAGACUUUGAGCACUUGUUUGUACUAAUAUCUGAUAUGUCCCUAUUCUUAGGUUGCUCCUGGGGCUGGUUCAUCAUUUUGCUGCUGAUAACUUGGGACAUUUCGGAAGUUUCAAUGAAGUGGCUUGGUACUGAUUGAAUAUAUAAUUAGAAAUAUACCCUUGGGAAAGGAUGCUAUCCACAUGUUCUACAUCAGUUGUUUGUCAUUUGAUACAACUCUAAUGUCUCCUUAUAAUAGCAGCGAUGAGGUGGGGCAUGGCCAUUCUGUGGACCAGGAAGAGCCAUCAUCACUACAUCUGCCACUAUCCACAUCCUUCACCUUGAAGGAUGCCUCAUCUUGA